rnacentral:rRNA from 1 species
AUGACGUCAAAUCAUCAUGCCCCUUAUGACCUGGGCUACACACGUGCUACAAUGGCGGUACAAAGGGCUGCGAAACCCGCACGGGGAGCGAAUCCCAAAAAGCCGCUCUCAGUUCGGAUUGCAGGCUGCAACUCGCCUGCAUGAAGCCGGAAUCGCUAGUAAUCGCGGAUCAGCAUGCCGCGGUGAAUACGUUCCCGGGCCUU